UCUGCGCCUGUAUCUGGGCUGCUUGAGAAAAAUCACACCCACGUGGAUUAGUGCCGUUACUCACUGAUUUAUGGACCUCCGUCUCAGCUGGGCCCUCAUCACCGCCUCUAAUUUUCCUCAUGUCUCUCGCCAGCUCUCUCUGAGUCUCCAAAGAGCCCAGUUCAGAUCUUUUCUCCUUUCUUCACAUUUUGUCCCAUUUCUUCCCAGUGUCUAAGUAAAUUUCACCUCCUACUUCACGGAGAAAAUAGAAACCACUGGACAGGGGCUUCCUCAACUUUCCGACACCGCACCUGCUAACUUCCCUCUGUCUACACUGGCAUUUCUUCUCCCACCCUGUGGUGAGGUGAAAGUGUUCCUCCUCCUGGCCACAGCCAGGUCCUUCCACCUGGGCCAGACCCCCUGGCUGCCUUCUCAGGAAGCUCAGGCCUUCAACUGUGCUCCUCCUGCUGGUGUCUUUGAACAUCCCCCUCUGGGUCCUUCUCAAAAGUGUCUAAAUCAUGUUCUCUUGAUCUCUGCUGACCCUCCAUUGGCCACCUUGUCUCAAUCCUCCCUUUAUAGCCAAUCGCUUGACAGUGGUGUUUGCGCUUGCUCUGAACACCUCCUCCUCUCUCAGGUACACACCAACGCAUUGCAGUCUGACUUCUGACUUGACCAAGAUAAAAAGCAAAAACAAAAUAAAAACAAAACAGAAAACUGCAUCCUUGUGCCAAAAUCACCUCUGACGUUUUUGACUACUCAUCUUGAAACACUUUCCCUCCCUCUGGUUUGCAGGACGUCUCCUCUUCUAAGCAAUACCUUUUAUUUUUUCCUGCAGAUUUGUUUUCUCUCUCUCAGUCUCUCUCUCUCAUUGUUGUUUUCAAUCAUGAGCUGGAGUUUUAGUUCCAAGUCUCAAAACAUUUUUUCUUUUCUUCUCUGUGAGGAUCCUUUUUCUUUGACAGCAUCAGUCAGCUCAGGCCGCCAUAACAAAGUACCAUUGACUGGGUGGCUUAAACACCAGAAAUUUA
rnacentral:lncRNA from 1 species